rnacentral:rRNA from 1 species
CCUACGGGUGGCAGCAGUGGGGAAUAUUGCACAAUGGGGGAAACCCUGAUGCAGCGACGCAGCGUGAGUGAAGAAGUAUUUCGGUAUGUAAAGCUCUAUCAGCAGGGAAGAAAAUGCCUGUACCUGAUUAAGAAGCUCCGGAUAACUACGUGCCAGCAGCCGCGGUACUACGUAGGGGGCCAGCGUUAUUCGGAUUUACUGGGUGUAAAGGGAGCGUAGACGGUGAUGCAAGUCAGAAGUGAAAGCCAGGGGCUCAACGCCGGGACUGCUUUUGAAACUGUGUGACUGGAGUGCAGGAGAGGUAAGCGGAAGUCCUGGUGGAGCGGUGAAAGGCGUAGAUAUCAGGAGGAACACCAGUGGCGAAGGCGGCUUACUGGACUGUAACUGACGUUGAGGCUCGAAAGCGUGGGGAGCAAACAGGAUUAGAUACCCUUGUAGUC